rnacentral:misc_RNA from 1 species
CAGAGUUAUCCAACUCCCAAACCCAUGUGAGCUUAUCUCUUUGUUGCCUCGGCGCAAGCUACCCGGGACCUCGCGCCCCGGGCGGCCCGCCGGCGGACAAACCAAAAUUCUUGUUAUCUUAGUUGAUUAUCUGAGUGUCUUAUUUAAUAAGUCA